rnacentral:rRNA from 1 species
GCGUGCCUAAUACAUGCAAGUAGAACGCUGAAGGAGGAGCUUGCUCUUCUGGAUGAGUUGCGAACGGGUGAGUAACGCGUAGGUAACCUGCCUGGUAGCGGGGGAUAACUAUUGGAAACGAUAGCUAAUACCGCAUAAUAGUAGAUGUUGCAUGACAUUUGCUUAAAAGGUGCAAUUGCAUCACUACCAGAUGGACCUGCGUUGUAUUAGCUAGUUGGUGAGGUAACGGCUCACCAAGGCGACGAUACAUAGCCGACCUGAGAGGGUGAUCGGCCACACUGGGACUGAGACACGGCCCAGACUCCUACGGGAGGCAGCAGUAGGGAAUCUUCGGCAAUGGACGGAAGUCUGACCGAGCAAACGCCGCGUGAGUGAAAGAAAGGUUUUUCGGAUUCGUAAAAGCUUCUGUUGUAAGAG